AAAACUUUAAGUGAAACUUCAGUUGAAAAAAAAUAUUGGACUUGAAGGCUUAAAGAAGAUGAUAAAUGGCAUUGAAGUUAUUACUAUAGAAGUGAAAGCCAAAUCUUGCCUGUUUUUUGAAAGUAUUGAAACACUGGGAAGGAUCUUUCAAAGGCUAGUUUGGUUAGGAAGAUAACUAAAGACAGGAAAGUUUUCUGGAAUUUAUGAUUGUAAGAGGAGGUAGCAUCACCAAAAAGUAAUGACAGAUUGAUUUUGAGAUGCUCUGCAGGCAUCCUGGGCAACUGUGGAAGAAGAAGCAGGUUUACAGAAGUUGUGUUCCAGGAUGGAGACAGAGGUGUUCCUCCUGGUCAGGGUCCCCAUGUGUAUGGAUGAACACUAUGGAUGAAGCUCGUGGGCUGGUCAAACACCAAGUAUGAACUGGCAACACUAACCAGGCAGGGAAAUGGGUUGAAACUAAAGGAUCAGCUACAAAUUGGAGAGAAGACAUAUUAGGAAGAGAUAGUUAUGUUAUUAGCCCAAAUUAGACUUAGAGAGCAGGAAGGGAUGUUUAGGGAAAUCAGGCAAGGAAGAGGACAGAGGUGCUGAGACAUUUCUGUCGACCUGACUCCUUCCCAUUGCUGAGCUUCAGCUCAGGCUUAGCCCUCCUCGCCUGUGAC
rnacentral:lncRNA from 1 species